GUCAACUAUAUAUGUUGUAUAGAAGCAUUGUUAGCUGUACCUGUCUGCCUGGCAUGGUUCAUCUGACCUGGACCUCUUUUUCAAGUUCAUUGGUCUUUGUUUAGUUAUCUUGGUUAAUGUUAAGUUUAUGUGACAGCUGUAAUAAAGCUUAGCUUUAUACUUAGGACUAUCAACAUAAUAUCAAUGAUUAGUAUAGAAGGCGAGACAUUUCAGCGUGUGCACUCUUGUUAUGA
rnacentral:lncRNA from 1 species